rnacentral:rRNA from 1 species
AUUGGAGAGCUUGCUUUCCAUGAGAGUGGCGCACGGGUGCGUAACACGUAUGUAACCUACCCUUAUCAGGGGGAUAGCCUCUCGAAAGAGAGAUUAAGCCCGCAUAACAUCACGAUAUAGCAUUAUAAUGUGAUCAAAUAUUUAUAGGAUAAGGAUGGGCAUGCGGAACAUUAGCUAGUUGGUAAGGUAACGGCUUACCAAGGCUACGAUGUUUAGGGGAUCUGAGAGGAUGACCCCCCACACUGGUACUGAGACACGGACCAGACUCCUACGGGAGGCAGCAGUAAGGAAUAUUGGUCAAUGGGCGGAAGCCUGAACCAGCCAUGCCGCGUGCAGGAAGACGGCCCUACGGGUUGUAAACUGCUUUUGCAGGGGAAUAAACCUCAUUACGAGUAAUGAGCUGAAUGUACUCUGAGAAUAAGGAUCGGCUAACUCCGUGCCAGCAGCCGCGGUAAUACGGAGGAUCCAAGCGUUAUCCGGAUUUAUUGGGUUUAAAGGGUGCGUAGGCGGCCUGUUAAGUCAGGGGUGAAAGACGGUAGCUUAACUAUCGCAGUGCCCUUGAUACUGAUGGGCUUGAAUGUACUAGAGGUAGGCGGAAUGUGACAAGUAGCGGUGAAAUGCAUAGAUAUGUCACAGAACACCAAUUGCGAAGGCAGCUUACUAUGGUAUGAUUGACGCUGAGGCACGAAAGCGUGGGGAUCAAACAGGAUUAGAUACCCUGGUAGUCCACGCCCUAAACGAUGAAUACUCGAUGUUAGCGAUAUACAGUUAGCGUCAAAGCGAAAGCGUUAAGUAUUCCACCUGGGGAGUACGCCCGCAAGGGUGAAACUC